rnacentral:rRNA from 1 species
CCUACGGGAGGCAGCAGUGGGGAAUAUUGGGCAAUGGACGCAAGUCUGACCCAGCAACGCCGCGUGAAGGAAGAAGGCUUUCGGGUUGUAAACUUCUUUUAAUGGGGAAGAGCAGAAGACGGUACACCUUGAAUCAUCCACGGCUAACUACGUGCCAGCAGCCGCGGUAAUACGUAGGUGGCAAGCGUUGUCCGGCUUUACUGGGUGUAAAGGGCGUGCAGCCGGAGAGGUAAGUCAGAUGUGAAAUCCGCGGGCUCAACUCGCGAACUGCAUUGGAAACUGCUUCCCUUGAGUGUCGGAGAGGUGAUCGGAAUUCCAAGUGUAGCGGUGAAAUGCGUAGAUAUUAGGAGGAACACCAGCGGCGAAGGCGGCCUGCUGGACCGUAACUGACGUUGAGGCUCGAAAGCGUGGGGAGCAAACAGGAUUAGAUACCCGAGUAGUC